UCACAGAAUGUGUGAAACCUGAAGUUAAGAGAUUCAUUUCUGGGUCGUGCUACAACAAGUGAGAAACUAACGGCCGUUUGGCUGUCCAAUCGCGUGACUGUGGACAUUUGAAAGCAGACUUCCGCCCGCCUUUUCUACCGUUGGAAAUGCAAGAUGCGGCGACUUGACUUCAGACACCGAGAGAGGCUGGCGGCCCAGGUCUUGUGGCCACAUCUGUCCAAGCUCCUACUCUGAUUGAACAGUUGGAUGAUCAGACUGAUGAUGAAAAGUGCUACACAGUUCUCACACAUCUUCUGACUCCGAAGCCGCUGCAGUGUAAAAUCUGAGAUGUCUUUUCUGGUUGAUUUUGUGCAGAUUUCUGACAGCGACAGCGAUGGUGAGGGAAGCAGUGUACCGAACUCUCAGAUGACUCGGACCAGGUGACCAAACCCAUGCAAAGCACAAUG